GGAAUCUUACGGAAGGCAGCAGUGGGGAAUCCAGCCCAACCGCGCAACCAUGAAGCCGCUAUGCCGCGUGAGCGAUGAAGCCCUUAGGGUGUAAAGCUCUUCGCCCCGAGAUAAUGACGGUACAGAAGAAUAAGCUUGCUAUUUG
rnacentral:rRNA from 1 species